GAUGAAGAACGCAGCGAAAUGCGAUAUGUAGUGUGAAUUGCAGAAUUCAGUGAAACAUCGAAUCUUUGAACGCACAUUGCACCUCUCGGUAUUCCGGGAGGUAUGCCUGUUCGAGCGUCAUUUGUACCCUCAAGCUCUGCUUGGUGUUGGGUGUUUGUUCCGCCUCUGUGUGUGAACUCGCCUCAAAACAAUUGGCAGCCGGCGUACUUGUUUCGGAGCGCAGCACAUUUUGCGAUCCAGAUCAACGUACAGCGGCAUCCAAGAAGCCUUAUUUAACGCUCUUGACCUCGGAUCAGGUAGGGAUACCCGCUGAACUUAAGCAUAUCAAUAAGCGGAGGA
rnacentral:misc_RNA from 1 species